rnacentral:rRNA from 1 species
UGAGGAACAUGACCUUCGGCGGGGGAUAGCCGGCCCAACGGCCGGGUAAUACCGCGUACGACCACAUGGGGACAUCCCUGAGUGGUGAAAGCAGCAAUGCGCCGAUGGAGUGCCUCGCGGCCUAUCAACUAGUUGGUGAGGUAACGGCUCACCAAGGCGACGACGGGUAGCUGGUCUGAGAGGAUGGCCAGCCACAGUUGGGACUGAGACACGGCCCAGACCUCCGUAGGGAGG